rnacentral:tRNA from 1 species
GCCACCCUAGCUCAGCUGGUCAGAGCGGUUGUUUCGUAAAUAACAGGUCGUCGGUUCGAUCCCGAUGGGUGGCUCAA